rnacentral:rRNA from 1 species
GACGAACGCUGGCGGCAUGCCUAAUACAUGCAAGUCGAGCGAACAGAUGAAGUGCUUGCACUUCUGACGUUAGCGGCGAACGGGUGAGUAACACGUAAGGAAUCUACCUAUAAGCGGGGGAUAACAUUCGGAAACGGGUGCUAAUACCGCAUAAUAUCUUCUUCCGCAUGGAAGAAGAUUGAAAGACGGCUCUGCUGUCACUUAUAGAUGACCUUGCGGUGCAUUAGUUAGUUGGUGGGGUAAUGGCCUACCAAGACGAUGAUGCAUAGCCGACCUGAAAGGGUGAGCGGCCACAUUGGGACUGAGACACGGCCCAAACUCCUACGGGAGGCAGCAGUAGGGAAUCUUCCGCAAUGGGCGAAAGCCUGACGGAGCAAUGCUGCGUGAGUGAAGAAGGCCUUCGGGUCGUAAAACUCUGUUAUAAGAGAAGAACAAAUUGUAGAGUAACUGCUACAGUCUUGACGGUAUCUUAUCAGAAAGCCACGGCUAACUACGUGCCAGCAGCCGCAGUAA